CCCUCUCCGAUGUCUCUCACAUAUUCAAUGUUAUUCCUUGGAUACUCCAGGCUGAGCAAUUUGGGGUUCAGAAGGAGCGGCAUCCUCUGCAAUAGAGAGUAGUUAUGGUAAGAAGCACAAAUAUUGCAAAGCUGGACAUGAUGGAGAUUAUUACAGUCAUGGAGUAUGUAGGUGAGACAGAGAAGGAAGAAGAGGAGGAGGAAGGCAGAUUUGGAAUGUCCACACUUGGCUUUGAGGACGUCAUUGGUGGGAAUGCUCUUGAUGACCACUAGCUUAUACAAACCCUUUAUGUGCUGGGAAAAAACAUACACAUACAAAGUAUAUGAUUAUUAUUAGUUUUCUACAUUUCAUUUCUAUGAUGUUCCUGGAAUAAUUAAGGACUUGGCUUUGGUAUUAUAUCAGUGCUUGGAUUAGCUCUAAAAGGUAAGGCACACACAAGACCGAUGAUCUACCUACCUAUCUAUCUAUCUAUCUAUCUAUCUAUCUAUCUAAUCUAUCUAUCUAUCUAUCUAAAUUUAUAUAUAUCUGAAUUUGUUUAUCUAUCAACUACCUAUAGUUUCAGUGUUUCAACCACUUCCUUUUCCUCUCCUCUUGUGCAGAAAUAUAAGCCUUCAAUUUUACACAGUGAUCAAAUUCUAGAUGCAAGACACAGAGGCCAACUGGAACAUUUUGUCCCUCAAACCCCUAAAUCUAUCACUUCAAACAUUUUUAAAAGGAGCUCACAGCAAGAACUGGGGAAUGAGAUAAAUGCAAAUAAUUUCCAUUGGUGUCUUCUGUUGUCUUUUGUAAGUGACAAGACCCCUCCAUGUCCAGCUAAAGUUGUGUUUCUCUGCCUGCAGUUCGUGGUACUGCUGAUGGGGCAACACUAGAAGCAGCUGGUCCUGUUGCUCAUUAGAACCGUGGGACAGAGGUCACAGGGAUCCAUUCACAGAAUGCUGGUUAUUUCGGAAUCAUCAGCCAGACUAGCUUCUAAUAAUGCUAGUUAAUAUUGCACAUGGAAACAGUCCCUCUCUUGCCUCCUUACAAUAUAAACUCAGUUGACUUCUCUUUCAGAAAAGUUCCCUUUCUUGUAGAGGCAAUAAUGGAUAUUUGAUCUCGGAUCUCCUUUUCAACUUCUUUUAUAACAGACAACCCUAUGUGGUCAAAGGGAGUAGGUAAAGAAUUCUCACUGCACCUCUUACUCCUAUUUCUCUCUACUUUGAAACGCAUGAAUCACAUUCAAUAGAACAUUUUAAAAUGUUAUCUUCAAGUUUCUCUGAGGGAGAUGUCUACUCCCUUUGAACACAUAAUAUUUUGUCCCAAGGGCAUUCCAGAUGACCAGCCAUGGCAUGUUUGUGUUAUGACAACCCCAAGACUCUAGUGGAAACUCCACACCUUACUUCCCUCCCUCCCUGCACAGGCACACUUGACAGCUGUACCUCUCCUCUGCUUCAGACAAAUCUUCCCUUUUUUAGCAACUGCCUUAUCUCUCCUUGAACAUUCCCAACAAAGGUAAUGACAGAUUCUGUGCUACUUCCAACCUUCAAAGCAAACGGGAACUGUUUCUAUUCUUUCGCGUCUAGUGUCUUUGUAUAUAAUUUAUUCUCCAAGGCAGGGGUCAGCAAGUACAACCCACAGGACAAAUUUGGCCUGCUGCCUGUUUUUUUCAGAAGGAGGGUUAUUAAAUGGCACUUUUAUUAAUUUUAGUUUAGAUAAACUUUACUCUGCUAAGGCAGUAGCUCCAAAAUUGUUAAUAAAAAUUAUUAAAGCAAUAUUUAGAUUAAAAAAUGGACUCAGAAUUUUUUCUUUUUUUUGAACUGAGAAUUUUUGAUACCACAUUAACAAACUGGAAUGCAGUCAAUUAUGACAAAUCACUAUCCUAUAUACUUAAAACUAGUUUAAUUUUUCAUAUAAUGUGUAUCAUGAUUUUCACUGCUUUUCAGAGCAAUAUAUACAUCCAAAUGGUAUUUCUUAAGACCUUUUUAACAGUAAAACUUUAAAAGGUGUUUUUAGUUAAAAAAAACUGUUUUUUUUAUUGUGUACCACAUGAUGUUUUAAAACAUGUACGCAUUGUGGGAUGACUAAAUUGAGCUAAUUAACAAAUGCAUUACCUCACAUACUUACCAUUUUCUGAUGAUGAGAACACUUAAAAUCUAUUCUCAGUGGUUGUCAAGAAUACAAUACAUUGUUAUUAAUGAUAGUCACUGUAUUGUACUCUAAAUCUCUUGAACUUAUUUUUGCUAUCUAACCAAAAUUUUGUAUCCUGCUGCCUGUUUUUAAACGUAGGCUAUGUGCUAAGAAUGCUGUCUUAAAAUUAAUUACACUCCAUAGAGUUUUAUGAAGGUCAGUUUUAAAAGUACUGCAAAUAAAACACUGUAAGUUGCAAAAGGUUAUAUUGCAAGGGAUACCUUCUUAUAUAUAGGUUAGAGCUAUAAGGGGGAGUUUGGCAGUUCUGGGUUCCAUUUCUAACUUUAUCAUUUACUGGCUGUGUAAGCCACUUGAACUCUCCAGUUCAAAGAAACUUUCUUAGGUUUUUUUAUUUUUUUUUUCUGCAAAAUAGAGAUAACAAUAAUACCCAUUCCAUGGGGAUGUCUUGAAGAUAGAUUUAAAUAAUGCAUGUGAAGCUCAGCACAGUGCCCGAUCCAUAGUAAGUAUUCAGUAGAGGUUACCUGUCUUUCACUUCAUCAUACUUACUAAAAGGAUUAGAAAUUAGAAAGUUUCUAAAAUGUUACAGUGCUCAGCAAAUAGUAAACACUCAAUAAAUGGCAUGUCAAAUAACAAAAACAAAACAUACUCCACCGCACUCCAGCCUGGGCAACACAAGACCCUCUCACAGACAAAAACAAACAAACGAAAUCCCUACAAAACAAAACAUUGGAAACAAUUGUUACAAUAACAGUUUCUUACCUCCAUUCUAUUAACAGGAAAGGAAGUUCCCACAGGAAGUCAAAUUAAAGGAGAAAAGAAAGAACGUUAGUACAUUUUCAUCUUAUGCUUUGGCUGAGAUUGUUUUGAUACUACUGAUCUCUAAGUUUCUGAAAAGUUCUCCGCUUCUGCUAGGAGGCCAGAUGCUGCAUUAAUGGGCAGAUUCGGAGGAAAUGAAGAAAAUAUUGAGUAUCUUUAGGAAGCAGGUUCUUUUCAAACUGAGUCAAUCAUGGGUAACAUCCACCAAGGCAAUAUCUAAGCUCAGAAUUUCCCUCCAUUAGCUACCCAGGGACUUUACAUUAAGAAAUCAAGAUGUGGGCCGGGCGCGGUGGCUCACGCCUGUAAUCCCAGCACUUUGGAAGGCCGAGGUGGGCGGAUCAUGAGGUCAGGAGAUCGAGACCAUCCUGGCUAACACGGUGAAACCCCAUCUCUACUAAAAAUACAAAAAAUUAGCCGGGCGAGGUGGCGGGCGCCUGUAAUCCCGCUACGUGGGAGGCUGAGGCAGGAGAAUGGCGUGAACCCCCGGGGGGCGGAGCCUGCAGUGAACCAAGAUCGCGCCAGUGCACUCCAGCCUGGGCGACAGCGAGACUCCGUCUCAAAAAAAAAAAAAAAAAAAAAAAAAAGCAAGAUGUGGAGGUUAACAGAGAAGAUGCAUAAAGCAGACUUGGAAAAAAAGAAAAAAGAAGGAGAAGGAGAAAAGAAAAGAACAUGCAGAGGAGAGAGGGUAGAAGAGAAAGUAGGCAAUGGUUGUUCUCAUAGACCUGGCUGCCUCAAGGCUGUGUGCCCUGGGUAGCUGCAUGGCAUCUGCACUCAGAAGGGCCUCGGGCUUAAUUUAAUGUUCUGCUCUCCCUACCUUGAAAUCCUUACCGUUUUUGGAACACCUAGCCCUGCAAAUUAUGUAGCUGCCCAUGCUCACGGAUGUAAAAACUCAGGGCUCUGAGGAGAAUACGCCUCUCCUCUGGUGGUAUGUGAUUCCCAGGACAAACAGCCCCAACUCAGACUCUGCCAAGGCAUGAGAAUCCCGGCAAGGGUGUGAUAUAACCAGCAUUUCUGAAUUAUUCCAUUUUCUUUCUUGUAAAUUAAAAACUUCACACUCUUUACCAAGUGCUUUAUGGUUACUUCGUCCUGUCCUC